UGUGGUGUCGUUUUAUUGGUAACUAGGAGGUUACACAUUUCACCCAGAAGCGCGCAACAACUGUUGAACACAGCGCCACUCCACAACGGAAAGAAAACAAUGAAUACAGCAAACUAACUAAACAUUUUUCUACAGUUAAUAACCUAGUUUGCCAGCAAGCUACAACUGCCUAGUUUAAGUGUAGCUUGCGUAUGACUUUCAUUGAAAAAACUCUUGGCAAACAACAUAGUUAGGUAGGCUAACGUUAGCCAGCUAAUCAGACAUUUUCUAGCUAGUUAUCGUUUUCUUCCCAGAUGUCGUUUACGAGGGUGGGCCGCUUACAGCACGGUCAAGGAAAACGACCUGCUGUGCGUCCCAAGAAGGCCAAUGCCCCGAAGAGAGAGUGGGUGAGCACCGUCCAUGACCUCUCUGUACACAAGGCUUCACCGGAGGAGCUGAAUCGUCGUCAUGAGAUGCACCGGUCCCAGAACCGAGUGGUGGCCCAGUGGGAGCUGAGAGAGAGAGCUCUGAGACACAGGAGGAAGAAGGACCUCCCUGGUAGCCCAGCUCCGCUAGACCGCGCCAGCCUCAACAUCAUCAGAGAGGUGUUCUCAGAUCAGUUUCAACUGCAGGACGUUCUGGCCCGGUCAGACAGAGCUAUGGCUGUGGUCAAAGACUUGUUUGGCGACGCGCCUCGCAGGCAGACCGGGUUCCCCAGUGUUACCAUGGCUCCAGACUGUGGCUCUGACUCAGACCUGCCUGUCCUGCAGAAACCAGAGGCCCCAACACAGCUCUCCCUCCUCAGCCAGUCCAUGAUGGACCCACAGGCUCUGAAUGAGCUGGAGGACUCUGUUGAAGACCAUAGUGAUGAAGAAACUGGCCAUUCUGCCUCUGUCAAUUUCAACUCCAACAUGGAUACCAGUUACAAGGUGUAUACCCGGAAAGUGAAAGCCAAGCCUUGUACUAGAGGAGGGAAGCAGCAAAGACCCCAGUGUAACUCCAACCUCCAGGGGGCAGGAGGAGACAGCCCCCCUCAGACUCCCAGUGCCUCAGGGGGAACCCAAGUACAAGCAGCUCUGAAUGCCACAGUUAAAGUCCAGCGGUUGGGGUCCAGACAGCCCCAACCCCAGCCUGAACCUGGGGAGCAUUUCACCCUGGUCACUCAGGUCCUGAACCCAGACCCUCCUCUCACCCGCUCAGGCAGGAAGAGCCGGUCCUCGAAAGCCAGUAGGGGGCGCAGUACUGAGUCAGGUCUGGAUGGCUCUACCCUCAGCUCUCUGAGUGGGAACCAGUCCAGCCUGGGGCUGCUGCAGGGCCUGCUGGGUCAGGUGGAGACAGAGCUGGAUGGCCUAGGGCCAGAGGAGCCUCCCAGAGCCCCAGGAGCAGGGGAAGGAGAGGGGACGACGGGGCCAAAGCACAGCACACAUGGCCUCACAGGCUUCUCUGUGGCUCUGGUGUCUACACUGGGCCGCCUGGCUAGACUACUCAGACAGAGAGAGGAGGAGACUCAGAGGGAGGGAAAGGAGAGGAGGCGGCUGGAGGUGGAGGUGAAGGAGCAGAGAGGAAUGAUAGACGCCCUCACCGCAGAGACCCUGACCCUGAGAGAGGAGAGCGCCGCCCUGCAGGCAGGUUUGCAGCAGCGAGCGUGUGAUCUGGAACAGAGGCUGGACACAGUGGUGCUGGUUCUGGGGGGAUUGGGGGUACUAGGAGGAGACGGGGACUAUGAGCCCCAAGAGACUGGCAGCAUAGCUACAGGCAGUGAGUGGGAACCGUCCUAUGAUGCAGACGCUCCUGUACCCUCCUAUGAACAGAAUCAGACAGGUCUCACUCUCAACCCUGCUGUGCUGCUCUCUCCACCACGUCAGAGAGACAAUCGGCCACACGGUCACACUUCAGCUGUUCAUUCCCUGGCUCUUCACCACGUUCCCUCUCUCCCUGUGACCCGGGGCUCCUGUGACGACCUCCAGACCUUCAGCUCCGCCCCCUCUCUCUUCAGCCUGCCCCGCCCUGCCCCUACACCCCCUCCAGCCGCCACCCCAGACCCUCUCCUCUGCGAUCCGUCCCAGGGUGCCAUGCUGUCUCAGAUUGCCGAGCUGACCCGUCAGAACGCCCUCAUACGGGAUCAGCUGGGGCAGUUCCACCCCGCUACUCCUCCCUCCGGGUCAGAGAUUUGUGAAGGUCAGAGUUCAGGCAGGGGGUUUGUCUCCAGCAGCACAGGGAGACUGACUCCCCAACAGGGCAUGGAGAAGAGAGGCUUCGUUCCCAGCAGUACAGGCAGAACAACACCCCAGCGUGAGACAGGGAGAGAGAGGGGGACAUGGUCCUGUGGUGGAGAGCAGCAAACACAGCAGUCUGUGGUUCGUGAGAGCCCAGGCUGUGAGAGCAGUGUGGAACAGCGUCUCCUAGAGCUCAACAGGCAGAGUGCAGCAGCCAGGAGCAGACUGCUGGAGCUUAUAGAACAACAGAGACAGAGCUCCUCCUCAGCCAGAGUAUCCCCUUCUGUCUCCCCCAUACCUCCACUGUCAGCAGGCCUGAGCCCAGAGUCAUCCAUGCUGCUGCCUGAACAGGACCCCUCCCCCCUGGGCAGCGGAGGUAGUAGACGGUGAUGUGGAGGAAGGGAUCAGAGGUCAGGGGAAUGAUGGUCAUCUUGACUGAAGAGGUCCUGUGUGUUUCAGGUCUGCUGGUGGGGUCUCUCCACAAAGCCUUGGAGGACAGUCCAGAGGCAGCAGGACUCCGGUGGACAAGCUGAAAGGAGAAGGCUGGUUUGCGUUGUCUACACAUGUAAGAUGAACAAGUUAAGAACUGAAUACAGAAACUCCCUGCAACUUUUGUAACUUUUAGUAGAGGUCACUUUAGACUUAAAAUGUUGUUUCUUUACCCUGUUUUUACCUAUGCAAUUUUCUUAUGGUUGUGAAUUAAAACUUUUGAUAACUGUG